GGGCGCAGCUGAUCAGCCAUGCCGCGUGAGUGAUGAAGGUCUUCGGAUUGUAAAGCUCUUUUGGCGGGGACGAUAAUAACGGUACCCGCAGAAUAAGCCCCGGCUAACUUCGUGCCAGCAGCCGCGGUAAUACGAAGGGGGCUAGCGUUGCUCGGAAUCACUGGGCGUAAAGCGCACGUAGGCGGGCUUUUAAGUCGGAGGUGAAAUCCCAGGGCUCAACCCUGGAACUGCCUUCGAUACUGAAAGUCUUGAGUCCGGAAGAGGUGAGUGGAACUCCGAGUGUAGAGGUGAAAUUCGUAGAUAUUCGGAAGAACACCAGUGGCGAAGGCGGCUCACUGGUCCGGUACUGCCGCUGACGUGCGGAAGCGUGGGGAGCAAACAGGA
rnacentral:rRNA from 1 species